UAUGUAUCUUCUAUCAGCAGGGAAGAAAAUGACGGUACCUGACUAAGAAGCCCCGGCUAACUACGUGCCAGCAGCCGCGGUAAUACGUAGGGGGCAAGCGUUAUCCGGAUUUACUGGGUGUAAAGGGAGCGUAGACGGCAUGGCAAGCCAGAUGUGAAAGCCCGGGGCUCAACCCCGGGACUGCAUUUGGAACUGUCAGGCUAGAGUGUCGGAGAGGAAAGCGGAAUUCCUAGUGUAGCGG
rnacentral:rRNA from 1 species